GCCUGGUUGGCGUAGUGGUAUAACGCGUGCACUUCAGAACUUUGUGCUGAGGGCUUGGCACCCCCGAGGACGCAUGUUCGAACGAGGGGCGGUCUGGCAAACCGCAGUACAAACCAAUGUGGUGCAAAACCUGGGUUCGAAUCCCAGACCGGGCA
rfam:Neurospora crassa OR74A linkage group IV, whole genome shotgun sequence.